ACGCCUGCAACCACAAGUUGUCACCAGAUAAUCACGGCAGCUGUUGGUCAGACUGGCACAAUAACUUCCCCUCCAGCAGAAAAAUACUGCGAAUACCGAAUCCAGGCUCCUUCUGGAAGUCGCGUGCAGGUCGACGAAGUUACAUCUAGGAUUCGAGGGACAAGGAACUGUGCAAUUGACUGGCUUCUGCUGAACGGGAGGAGUGAGAGGAUGUACCCGCCAGACACCAGCUUAAUUAUCUGCGGCAAGAGGGUAGUGUCUUCACCUCUGACAUCCGAGACCAAUGAGAUGUACGCAGCUUAUCAAGGCACCAGGAGGAGAAGCCGCGGUGUCACUAUCAAGUAUACCAUCAUCUAGUAAGUCAAACGUUCUUUGAUUUUCUCGCUCACUCCGUGGACGAUGCAAUCACUACUCCAAUGUAUCUGUACGGGCACAAAUUCAUUAUUACACCUGCAACCCUUUCAGUUUACCUCUUGCCCACGAUGUUUCUUUGUUUAAAAUCAUAUCACUGGUAAGCCAAGUCAGCUGAUAAAACUUAAACGAGGAAUAGUAGCAUCCUUAUAGUGUUCUACAAUAACCGCCCCAAGAAAAUAAAUAUAUGCAGCAG